UGGAGGUCGAGCGCCAAGGGGAGCUGAAGGUGGAAGAGGCGGCAUUGCACCGGGUACAGGUCUGGGACCAUUUGCAGACAUAGGAGGUGGUGGAGGCAUUGAUCCUGACAUUGGAGGUGGAGGGGCUCGAGGAGGAUUUCCCAAAGGUGCGCCAGGAGGCAGCCCUUGGGGAGGAGGUGGUGGUGGUGGUAAUGGAGCUUGUGAUGCUAGGGGCAUUGGCCUUGGAGGAACACCGGGUGCUGUGGUGCCAUUGGGAGUAGAUGCAGGUGGCUGUGGUUUGGUUACCUCUAGUGGUUUGAUUUUAAAAUACAACUGCAGCUGCAGACAUAGCAACAGAAGUAGAUGCAGGUGGCUGUGGUUUGGUUACCUCUAGUGGUUUGAUUUUAAAAUACAACUGCAGCUGCAGACAUAGCAACAGUUCUGGAGUCAGUAGCUGCUAGUGGAAAUAAAAUAUCAACAAUGCAGGCAUGUCACAACCAAAAGGAACAAAGAGAAUGCAUGAAAGGAUGGAAAUACUCAUCGUAGUUCCACAAUUAACUACUUGCUUGAAU
rnacentral:lncRNA from 1 species